AGCCGGCGGACUCUGGAAGGACUGCCAUCGACAAGAUGGAGGAAGGUGGGGAUGACGUCAAGUCAUCAUGGCCCUUAUGUCCAGGGCGACACACGUGCUACAAUGGCCGGCACAACGGGAAGCGAGUUCGCGAGGACAAGCGGAUCCCUCAAAGCCGGUCGCAGUUCGGAUUGAAGUCUGCAACUCGACUUCAUGAAGCUGGAAUCGCUAGUAAUCGUGGAUCAGCCAAGCCGCGGUGAAUACGUUCCCGGGCCUU
rnacentral:rRNA from 1 species